CUGCUGUCGCCUGCACGGUGACAGGUGUAACGGGCUGGCUCGGCCUCUGCUCAGCAGCCAGCAGCGUGACUCUGCCCGUCGGCACCGCUGGGAAGCCGGGGCUGUGCUGACACACUGUGCUCAGAGAAUAAAACAGAAGAGCAAAGAACAUGAACUUGGCUGAAGAACAUGUGUGUGAGAUGUGCAUAUUUCUCACUUGCAUGGACAGGAAGCAGGGAAAAUGUGGUUUGGUUCUCUGAGACACACAGACCUCUCCCCUGGCAUGGAGGACAUGUCACCCCGCAGGUCUCCUGGCUCCACAAGGACCACAGUGCUGUGCUCACCUGCUCCACCACACCAUCUUUUGGGGAAGCUGAAAGGCUGGAGAGGAGCAGAGACCUCAGAUCUGCACUAACAAACACCACAAGAACAACAGAGAGAUCUGAAACCCGUGUCAGCAGCGUGAUCCAGGCUGGGAGACCCAAGGCUGCAGCUCAGGGCCAGUACAUCUCUGAGACACUCUGGGGCUUACAGCCCUACAAGGACGUGAGGAUUUAUAAAGAUCUCUAUUUUUUUAAAAGAAUCUUUAAGAAAUAAAAAACACAACCCCAAAACUCAAACAAGAAUUACACUGAUUUCUGAGAGCAGCAAGAGGAGCUGGCAGUGGGAAGGAGAGCUGUCACCUCCUUUGGGACAGAUGACCCAAGCUUAUUUUGAGUCAAAACCAACCAGAGUUUUUCUUCUACUAAAUUUUCCAGUCUUUGUCCUGCAAUAUUUAAUCCUCUGUGAUUAAUUACACCCUGAUUUACUGCGAUCAGAGUAGAUGGGGCCACAGAGAGCCAUGUACAAAAUAGAAUAAUUAUUUACAUAAGCCUCUUAGUUCAUGUAAAUUGUAACUUUUCGAAUGCUGGCAAAGGGAGCUCUUUUCAUUACCACAAUUUCUGUGGCUGUAAUUAGUCCUGUAGGAGGAUUAUUACUUCUCUUAUCAUUAGUAAGAGAGUUUAGAUAAUUUGCCACAACACUGUUGACUUCAGUGCCACUGGUGGCUGUGGCUGGUGGGAUUUCCUCAUCGAGACAAGGGAUUUACAGGACAGCACAACCCAUGGAGUGCUGCGGGCCAGAGGGAAUUAUCCGUGUCUCUUUCCUG